rnacentral:rRNA from 1 species
UGGGGAAUAUUGCACAAUGGGCGCAAGCCUGAUGCAGCCAUGCCGCGUGUAUGAAGAAGGCCUUGGUUGUAAGUACUUUCAGCGGGAGGAAGGCGAUAAGGUUAAUAACCUUGUCGAUUGACGUUACCCGCAGAAGAAGCACCGGCUAACUCCGUGCUAG